CCUACGGGAGGCAGCAGUGAGGAAUAUUGGUCAAUGGACGAGAGUCUGAACCAGCCAAGUAGCGUGAAGGAUGAAUGCCCUAUGGGUUGUAAACUUCUUUUGUAUGGGAAUAAAACAGGGUAUGCAUACCCUCUUGUAUGUACCAUAUGAAUAAGGAUCGGCUAACUCCGUGCCAGCAGCCGCGGUAAUACGGAGGAUCCGAGCGUUAUCCGGAUUUAUUGGGUUUAAAGGGUGCGUAGGGGGUUUGUUAAGUCAGUUGUGAAAGUUUGAGGCUCAACCGUCAAAUGGCAGUUGAAACUGGCAGUCUCGAGUACAGUAGAGGUGGGCGGAAUGCGCGGUGUAGCGGUGAAAUGCUUAGAUAUCGCGAAGAACUCCGAUUGCGAAGGCAGCAUACUGG
rnacentral:rRNA from 1 species